AAUCAAGCACACAUACUUGAUUGUGGCGUCCUCUACCGUUAAAUCUGUUCUUGAGUGGUCCAAGUUCGGGUUCAACUCCGUCAAAUCUUCAUCGUGUUCCUCUAGAUCCGAAGUAGCUUCCGCGUCUCGUAUCAGCUGGCAUCAGAGCUAGUUAGAGGUAUCACGAAUAUCCUUUUUAUCGUUUUUAGAUCUAUUUUAGUCUUCUAAAUUCGUAGCUCAAGUGCUCGGGUUUGUCAAGUCCGAAAUCUGUCUUUGUUGUUUCCUUGUCAGAAAUCUGUCUUGGUUGUUUCCUUGUCAGAAAUCUGUCUUUGUUGUUUAGUUGUUGUCCGAAAUUUUCUGUCCAGGUUUGUCUUGUGUUUAUGUUCUGUUUAAAUCCAGAAAAAAAAAAAAUCUCUUGUGUUGCAUACCUUAUUGUCAUUCCCUUGAGUCGUUGCUGGAAUUAAUUGCUGGGUUGCCGAAUCUGUUUGCACUUGUUUCUUGAACCUUUGUGUUGUUGCUUUGCAAAACUCGAACAUCAAAACCUUAUUGGGGAAGUCUUGAGCUUCUUGGAUCAAAGAGGUUAAUCUUGGCAGUCUUGAAACCUGAAAUAAACCUUCAACC
rnacentral:lncRNA from 1 species